rnacentral:rRNA from 1 species
UACGAAGGUGGCUAGCGUUGCUCGGAUUUACUGGGCCUAAAGCGCGCGUAGGUGGUCGUGUAAGCGGGGGCUGAAAGCCCAUGGCUCACCCAUGGAACUGUCCCCCGGACUGCACGGCUCGAGGAAGGAAGGGGAGAAUGGAAUUCCCGGUGUAGCGGUGAAAUGCGUAGAUAUCGGGAGGAACGCCGGUGGCGAAAGCGAUUCUCUGGUCCUUUCCUGACACUGAGGCGCGAAAGCUAGGGGAGCAAACGGG